UUAUUUUUCACUUUCUGCAUCCAGAUAUUUUCCUAUGUUUUGUUCUACAAUGAUUGGUGCGGUAUGAUUCAUGCAGAUUGACUCCGGCCGUGCUUCGGCAUCCAAUUCGACUCUGGUCAAAUUGGAUCGUUGUAGCACUUGUGCUCUGCCAUCUGAUGACAGCUGACAUUCUUCUUCUGACUCUGCUGGGUCUCUCUCUGAUAGUGACUGAAAUGUAUCUAAACCACCAUCAGAUUCUAUGCUGCUGUCUGUGUUGCUGGCCAUUGUAGCAGCAGUCAAUUCACAUGCCGGGGGGUUCCCCUUUUGAGUCAUAAAAGAGCGCAACGGAGUAGCCUGGAAAUGCCUUUUUAAUGAAAUUUAUGACCACAUAUCUCAACAACUGUUCAUUUCAGUGGCAGGAAUUUACUUCUUUAAAUAUUUAAUUACUGUUUCCUUUCCAUAAAUGUAAUUGGAUUUUUCAUAAAAAUUCUAUGGCAAUAAAUUAUCAAACUACAAUUGAUAAUGUUUUGUGAAUGUAAAAUUUCAUGUCAUUUCACAUUGACAGAUGAAUGAUGCUUGUUUGCUGUUGCGGUUUUGACAACUAACACAGACAUGGCUUGUUAGUUGACUCACUUUUCCCACUUCAAGCCGCCACAAAAACAUCCUUUCUGUGUUCCAGGACGUCUUGAUCAGCCUUAUUGACAGUGACAUUCAUUCGCCUGGCUACGUUACUCCUGCAUAGGCCAGCCUGAAGCCAAUCAAUGGCAGUGUUUCUCUGUAGUAUAGUCAGUUGUGCAGACAUGCGAGGAAAAUGUUGCCUUGCUGACCAAUACAUAGGACAAAUCCAGCACUGCUCAACAUUCAACAAGAAAAUUUGAUUUUCUUUUUCCCGCAGGAUGAAAGAAAACUUCAGUGUUGCAAUUUGGUCACUAUUUUCAGUGUUUGUAGAGAUCAAGUCAUGUACAUUAAAGUGAGAAAAAUAUUUAAUAAGUUAAGGAAAUAAAACAAUUCAUUUUGUAUUUUUACAAAUAAAUUGCAGCAUGUAUUCAGCCCCCCUGAGUCAGUACUUGGUAACAUUUAACAGCAAUUGUCAUUGUUUUGUGAUGUGUCUCUACCAACUCUGCACAUCUAUAGAUAACACAAAUAGCUUAAGCUCAGUUUGAUUGGAUAAACCAUGUCUGCUAAUGUCACUUUUUAAGUCUUGUAUAGAUUUCUCAAUUAGAGUUAGGUCUGGACUUUUAGGCAUACCUAUUCUUACCUAUGAAUAUGUAUUAGAAUUAAUAUUUUAUGAUAUAAACCAUCUCAUAAUAGCUCAGGAUAUUGUUUUGUAACCUAACACUGCUAGCUACCUCUCCACAACUUCAUGUUUCUUAGAUUUUUCAUUUAUACUCAGAUUAAAUUACACACAGGUGGACUCUAUGUACUAAUUAUGUGACUUCCAAAGGUAAUUGGUUACACGGGAUUUCAUUCAAACCUAUUGGGGUAAAGAGAGCUAGGUAUAAAUGCAUGCCAUGCUUUCAAUAGUUCAUUUUUAUUUUCAUCCAUUUGCACUACUUGUUUUGGUCUAUCACUUGCAAUCUAUAUAAAAUACAUUAAGGUUUGUGGUUGUAAUGUGACAAAAAGGGGGAAAUUUCAAGAGGUAGAAAUAUUUUUCAAUAUUUAUGCAUAACUUUGUAUUAUUUUGCUCUGUAUUUCAUCAAGCUUGUAGGCAUGGAUAGCAAGUUCAGCAAGCUACUGAGAUUACAAAAUAAUGUUUAUUUUUACUGUAUAACAGACAAUUAAAUAUUCCUGGGCAUGAAG